rnacentral:tRNA from 1 species
UUCCUGGUGGUCCAAUGGCUAAGACUCUGCACUCCCAAUGGAGGGGGCCUGGGUUCAAUCCCUGGUCAGGGAA